rnacentral:rRNA from 1 species
UACGUAGGGUGCAAGCGUUGUCCGGAAUUAUUGGGCGUAAAGAGCUCGUAGGCGGUUUGUCGCGUCUGCCGUGAAACGGUCCGGGGCUCAACUCCGGAUCUGCGGUGGGUACGGGGCAGACUAGAGUGGAUGUAGGGGAGACUGGAAAUUCCUGGUGUAGCGGUGAAAUGCGCAGAUAUCAGGAGGAACACCGAGUGGCGAAGGCAGGUCUCUGGGCAUUAACUGACGCUGGAGGAGCGAAAGCCUGGGGAGCGAACAGG